rnacentral:rRNA from 1 species
UACGAAGGGGGCUAGCGUUGCUCGGAAUCACUGGGCGUAAAGCGCACGUAGGCGGAUUGUUAAGUCAGGGGUGAAAUCCUGGAGCUCAACUCCAGAACUGCCUUUGAUACUGGCGAUCUUGAGUCCGGGAGAGGUGAGUGGAACUGCGAGUGUAGAGGUGAAAUUCGUAGAUAUUCGCAAGAACACCAGUGGCGAAGGCGGACUCACUGGCCCGGUACUGACGCUGAGGUGCGGAAAGCG